AUUGAACGCUGGCGGCAUGCCUUACACAUGCAAGUCGAACGGUAACAGGUCUUCGGAUGCUGACGAGUGGCGAACGGGUGAGUAAUACAUCGGAACGUGCCCGAUCGUGGGGGAUAACGGAGCGAAAGCUUUGCUAAUACCGCAUACGAUCUACGGAUGAAAGCAGGGGACCGCAAGGCCUUGCGCGGACGGAGCGGCCGAUGGCAGAUUAGGUAGUUGGUGGGAUAAAAGCUUACCAAGCCGACGAUCUGUAGCUGGUCUGAGAGGACGACCAGCCACACUGGGACUGAGACACGGCCCAGACUCCUACGGGAGGCAGCAGUGGGGAAUUUUGGACAAUGGGCGCAAGCCUGAUCCAGCCAUGCCGCGUGCAGGAUGAAGGCCUUCGGUUGUAACUGCUUUGUACGGACGAAAGAACUCUGGUUAAUACCUGGGUCCAUGACGGUACCGUAAGAAUAAGCACCGGCUAACUACGUGCCAGCAGCCGCGGUAAAC
rnacentral:rRNA from 1 species